rnacentral:rRNA from 1 species
GCAGCGAAGUCGUGAGGCGGAGCAAAUCUCGAAAAGCCGUCCCAGUUCGGAUUGCAGGCUGCAACCCGCCUGCAUGAAGUUGGAAUCGCUAGUAAUCGUGGAUCAGCAUGCCGCGGUGAAUACGUUCCCGGGUCUUGUACACACCGCCCGUCACACCAUGGGAGUUUGUAACGCCCAAAGUCGGUGGCCUAACCUUUAUGGAGGGAGCCGCCUAAGGCGGGACAGAUGACUGGGGUGAAGUCGUAACAAGGUAAC